rnacentral:rRNA from 1 species
UACAGAGGUCUCAAGCGUUGUUCGGAUUCAUUGGGCGUAAAGGGCGUGUAGGUGGCGCGCUAAGUCGGGUGUGAAAUUUCGGAGCUUAACUCCGAAACUGCAUUCGAUACUGGCGUGCUUGAGGACUGGAGAGGAGACUGGAAUUUACGGUGUAGCGGUGAAAUGCGUAGAUAUCUGGAGGAACACCGGUGGCGAAGGCGGCAUCCUGGACCAUUACUGACACUGAAUAGCGAAAGCCAGGGGAGCAAACGGG